GACGAACGCUGGCGGCGUGCUUAACACAUGCAAGUCGAACGAGAGCGUAGAGAAAGCUUGCUUUUUCUACAAUCUAGUGGCAAACGGGUGAGUAACGCGUAAACAACCUGCCCUACGGAUGGGGACAACAGCUGGAAACGGCUGCUAAUACCGAAUACGUUCCGAAAGUCGCAUAACUAUCGGAAGAAAGGAUGGCCUCUAUUUAUAAGCUAUCGCCGGAGGAGGGGUUUGCGUCUGAUUAGCUAGUUGGAGGGGUAACGGCCCACCAAGGCGACGAUCAGUAGCCGGUCUGAGAGGAUGAACGGCCACAUUGGAACUGAGACACGGUCCAGACUCCUACGGGAGGCAGCAGUGGGGAAUCUUCCGCAAUGGGCGAAAGCCUGACGGAGCAACGCCGCGUGAGUGAAGACGGCCUUCGGGUUGUAAAGCUCUGUUAUACGGGACGAAUAAUCUUGUGGUUAAUACCCAUGAGAAGUGACGGUACCGUAAGAGAAAGCCACGGCUAACUACGUG
rnacentral:rRNA from 1 species